GGUGGUGACAAUAAAGCAGCGGUCCGACCCGAUCCCAUCCCGAACUCGGCCGUCAAACGCUGUAUUGCCGAUGGUAGUGCAUGUAUAGCUUGUGCGAGAGUAGGUUGUCGCCAACU
rnacentral:rRNA from 1 species